rnacentral:rRNA from 1 species
UAGCACAGAGAGCUUGCUCUCGGGUGACGAGCGGCGGACGGGUGAGUAAUGUCUGGGAAACUGCCUGAUGGAGGGGGAUAACUACUGGAAACGGUAGCUAAUACCGCAUAAUGUCGCAAGACCAAAGUGGGGGACCUUCGGGCCUCAUGCCAUCAGAUGUGCCCAGAUGGGAUUAGCUAGUAGGUGGGGUAACGGCUCACCUAGGCGACGAUCCCUAGCUGGUCUGAGAGGAUGACCAGCCACACUGGAACUGAGACACGGUCCAGACUCCUACGGGAGGCAGCAGUGGGGAAUAUUGCACAAUGGGCGCAAGCCUGAUGCAGCCAUGCCGCGUGUGUGAAGAAGGCCUUCGGGUUGUAAAGCACUUUCAGCGGGGAGGAAGGCGGUGAGGUUAAUAACCUCAUCGAUUGACGUUACCCGCAGAAGAAGCACCGGCUAACUCCGUGCCAGCAGCCGCGGUAAUACGGAGGGUGCAAGCGUUAAUCGGAAUUACUGGGCGUAAAGCGCACGCAGGCGGUCUGUCAAGUCGGAUGUGAAAUCCCCGGGCUCAACCUGGGAACUGCAUUCGAAACUGGCAGGCUAGAGUCUUGUAGAGGGGGGUAGAAUUCCAGGUGUAGCGGUGAAAUGCGUAGAGAUCUGGAGGAAUACCGGUGGCGAAGGCGGCCCCCUGGACAAAGACUGACGCUCAGGUGCGAAAGCGUGGGGAGCAAACAGGAUUAGAUAC